UGGAAGCCUUGUUUUCACAUAGCAUUGUCUAAAUACAAAAAUGUUUUGUUAACUUCAGGUUUUAUUUGAUGUAAAUAUCUCUUCCGUUCCGCUAUUUAUCGACAAUGAGUUGUACAUUUAGGGAAGCAGCUUUUAGUUUUCAGGGUGGUUGUCGAGAAGAAAAUGGCAACGUGUAGAUUCAGGGGGUUUUGAGAGAGUUGUUUAUAGCUUUUGGCAUAUUGAUUUGAUCUUGUGUUCCAUUAUUUCAAGUCUCCCGUAUAUUCUGGUGGAUGGCUGUAUUUGAAAAUUUUGUGCAGUUGAUGAAGUGGGGAAGUAAAAAAAAAAAGGAAAAGUGAACUUUUCUUCGGCUCUAUAAUGGGUUAUGAGGAAAAAUACAAAAUUUGACUGGAAUAAAUUCAUUGGCCAGGAAUUGCUCUGUUA